rnacentral:rRNA from 1 species
AGGGUGCAAGCGUUGUCCGGAAUUAUUGGGCGUAAAGAGCUCGUAGGCGGUCUGUCGCGUCGGCUGUGAAAACUCGGGGCUCAACCCCGAGCCUGCAGUCGAUACGGGCAGACUAGAGUGCGGUAGGGGAGACUGGAAUUCCUGGUGUAGCGGUGAAAUGCGCAGAUAUCAGGAGGAACACCGGUGGCGAAGGCGGGUCUCUGGGCCGUAACUGACGCUGAGGAGCGAAAGCGUGGGGAGCAAACAGG